rnacentral:lncRNA from 1 species
GGGACUUGAGCAAAAAGACCAGAGCUUCGGGUUAUAACGGGCACGGAAAACGAGACAAAGUUGUGAGAGAGAGGAGAGAAAUGAGCAACAUUUUCGGAAAGCCUCGCAUCCUAUUUAUAGGAAGGCUGAACCGCCUCCGAACGCGGGGCGUACGCUCGUACGCAGCGCGUACGCGUACGUCAUGCAUGACCGAAGCCUCGACUGCCUCGGUUCGGAUGGGACGGGUUGCUGGGUACGCGGGUCGGAUGGGACGGCGGGUCGGACGGGACAGCGGGUCGGACGGGUCGGAGCUUCGGACGGGUCGGACGGGUUAGAUUCUUCGGAUAGCGCGACGUGGACGAUCCGAGACCCUCGAUCUCAGUACGCGGGGCGUACGAAGGUACGCAGGGCGUACUUCGGUCCAAUCCGAUGACUCCCCUUCGGAUAUUACCGGGAAUUUAUAAUUAAAUUCUUAUUUAUUUUAAAUAAACUUCAAAAAUUCAUAUCUCUCUCAUACGAACUCCGUUUUUGACGUUCUUUAUAUCCACGCGAAGGUGAGACCAUGAUCUACAACUUUCGUUUAGAUUCCGCUGGCAAAUUCCGAAAUUAUUUUUAUUAUUUAUUUAUUAAAAUGACGUGUUUAAGGAAUUUCUUCAAAAAUUCAUAACUUCCUCAUCUGAGGUCAGAUUUGGACGCUCUUUUUAUGUACGCAAACCUUGAUAUGAUUCCUAUUACUUUAUUUAAUCCGAAUAAGAUUUUAGGAAGGUUACAUUUUGACCUAAACUUGAUCGGAUUUACAUUACAUUGACUCGAAAUAUCGGGUUGUCAAAUGUAAGACCUUGCUUUAGAGUUUAUGGCCCAAGGACCAAACUCGAUGGAGUUUACGACCUAGGGUUUACGACCCUAGUGGGUUUAUAGCCGUAAACCCAUGGCAACUCCUACCAUUUCGUGGUUUAAGGUCUGUUGCUUAAGUAUGAAGGGUCCUAUUCCAAUAUCCAAGCCUUAGGAUGUAAUGGAAGCACAUAUGCAACACAUAAUGGUGUUUAUGGCCCAAGGAGAUUGCCUUGGCCAUAAACCUAUGUGUUCUUGGACAUUCUUGGAGUUUUUUGAAGGUUUAGCAAGUAAUCUAAGCAUAUAACUAGAUAGGAGGAGUGUACUUACUUAUAGGAAGCUUGCAAGAGUGUUUAGGGUUCAAGAACACUAGUGUGUGUUCUUGGUAUUCUUGGUGUUUUGAAGAACACUUGAAGAUCUAUGAAUAAGAGAAGAUUUCAUGGAUGAAAUCAUGUAUAAACACUAGAUGAAGUGUUAUAACAACAGAUCAGGAGAGGAAACACUCACAUUUUUGGAAGGAAUGAAGAGUAAACUCAUGCCUUAAGCAUGAGUUUAUGGCCACAAGGGAGUUUACGGCCCAAAUUCAAAAGUUUGGCCGUGAACUCCUUACUAAGGUACUAAAUGUGUGUUUGCUACUCCAAGACCCUAGAAGGUACUUCCUUUUAGUUGUUCGUGUGAAGAAUUUAUAUUAAAAACACUCAAAUGGACUUUAAACCGGAUAAAAAUUAGCAAAAACGUAUUUGAGUUUUAUUUGAAGUGCUUGACUAUAGGGUUUGUACGAAUGGAAAUUUCAGGUUGUCACAUCAUCCCCCGUUAGAGAGAAUUUCAUCUUGAAAUUAGAGUUUA